AAUAAUUUUCAGAUAUGGGUCAAUUUUCAGUUGACAGUUUGUGUGAUCUGUAGAGUUACUGUAGCGCCAAUUUCUCUAUAAAUGGGACUAAAAUGCAGGAAACUUGAGCUAUUUAUGUAGAACGGCAUUUGAUGGUGCAAUUAGGCACAAAAAAGAAGGAGCUGG